GACGAACGCUGGCGGCGUGCUUAACACAUGCAAGUCGAACGCUGAAGCUCAGCUUUUGUUGGGUGGAUGAGUGGCGAACGGGUGAGUAACACGUGAGUAACCUGCCCCCUUCUUUGGGAUAACGCCCGGAAACGGGUGCUAAUACUGGAUAUUCACUGGUCUUCGCAUGGGGGUUGGUGGAAAGGGUUUUUCUGGUGGGGGAUGGGCUCGCGGCCUAUCAGCUUGUUGGUGGGGUGAUGGCCUACCAAGGCUUUGACGGGUAGCCGGCCUGAGAGGGUGACCGGUCACAUUGGGACUGAGAUACGGCCCAGACUCCUACGGGAGGCAGCAGUGGGGAAUAAUGCACAAUGGGCGGAAGAAUGAUGCAGCGCCGCAGCGUGAGGGAUGGAGGCCUUCGGGUUGUGAACCUCUUUCGCUCAUGGUCAAGCCGCAACAAUGGUUGUGGUAAGGGUAGUGGGUAAAGAAGCGCCGGCUAACUACGUG
rnacentral:rRNA from 1 species